GAGAGAGAAGGUCACAUUGCAUACUGCUUAUUGACAUCUCUGGAAGAGAAAAGUUUGCUUCCAAUUCUCUGGUUGAAGAUUUUGUGUUUUGAGUAACUCCCCGGGAGACGCUGAUGCUACCAGUCUGAAGACCACACUUUGGAAACCACUGCUCUAACACUUUCUCCAAGCCAGUAAAGCUGUCUGAACAGGGCUAAGAAAAUCCUUCACAUGAAAACAGCUGAGGAGCAGAGGCUCCAGGAGAAGUUUUCCAGUGAUUGAUGGAACGUAACCUUGAAAGUCUACCUCGUCAGUUCUUGAGAUUGGGGUUCUUCAGGCUUCAUCCCGGCUUAUUUCCCUGCUGGAAAUCAGAGAUAGAAACAAAUGAAGCAUCAGGUUGAAAACAGAAGUGCAAAACAGUCACAGGAAACACAACCCAUACAUCACACCAGCAGCCGGAGGAAAGCCCCUGCCCACCAGAGAUGACCAGGCAACAAGCCCUGGCCAGGCAACUCUCACACCUUUCCCAGCUUCGUGGAUAAUUAAGAAACAGUGGUGACCUAGUACCUAGGAACUAAUCAGAACGUAGAGUAAUAACUGUUUUUCCAACCACGGAUCUUGGUAGGAGCUUCUCAGAGGUGAUCCUUGUCACCCGUCAGAAAUGGUUGCCUCUCAUUAUCAAGAAACAGAAGGAGAAACAAAACGACCAGUGAACUCACCAUCCACUCAGGCAUGUGAAAAGCUGAGGUGCCCUCAUUACCGUCCCACUUCUCCAUAGUGCAGGCUUGGGUAAGAUAUGUCCUGAAGCAAAAGGGAAAGCUGGUUUGGAAAUACUGGGGUUAUCUGAGUGCCCCAAAGCAGACCCAACCCUAGUGAGAUUCAGAAGUUCACAGUGGCUAGCAGAAGCUGCAUCCCUUUUCACAGCAGCCUCCGAUUCAAAUCAAGAGCAUUAGUCAACUGCCUGACAACCCCUUACUGGCCGGCUUCAAAGCCUUCUGUGUCUGAUUUCAAAAUCAGAGCUGAUGCAAAGUGCUGCACCCAGGCACUGUGCUUCUCACAGGGCACUCACUGUUUUAAUGCUACCCAAACACUCUACCCGCACCUCCCCAGUGGGGACUUUCUGCAGCAAUAGUUGGACUUCCUUCUUUCCCUGUGUGUGAGGCACUUGUGAAUUCUCUCCCACCCUUCAGGACACGUCACUGGAGGUGCGGAUACCAAGAUCAAUAAAGACUGAGGUCAGGAAGGCACUCCCAUUUCUCAAGAGUUGCUUGAUUUGGAUCAGUAAACAGGCGUUUCCUUGAAAUCAAGAGCUCCUAGGGCUUUCAAGUUUAAACAGCUAUGCAGAAGCUCCCCAUCUGCUCACACCAGGGGUCUGGCACCAAACUCUCGCAUAUCUCAAGUUAGAGUCUUAUUGCAUGGGAGGUUCGGAUGGAGCCUAGGAAGAUCUUUUUCAAAAUCAGAAUUUCUUAGCAGCUCUAAGAAAGUUCUGGGACGACAGCUCCCUCUGCUGGCUCCCUGUGCUACAUACACGAAGGCCUCAGGGCCCGCAGCUACAGACACACAGGUGCUGAUUGCAAAGUGACUUCACUGAGGCUAGUCAGAAGCCACCACAGUGUAGGUUUAGAGGACAGCCAGGGUUUCCAACCAAGACUAGUGCUGCCUCAAAGUCCCUAACCAAUGCUGGAUUUUACACACAGAUCUGGUUUCAGGAAGAAACAGGAUGCCAGUGCAGUAGCCCUGUACACUAUCACCUUAAAGGACCUCCGAAGUUGUUUCUGCUUUAUCUCUCCAUACCAACUCCCUCCUUGCUGCACACUUCAGAAUUUUGGAAAUAAGACAUAACUAGAAAAAAGGUAAGCUAGCCUAUCUCACCUGCUUAGUUCAUUCCUAGAGUAUAUUAUCCAAUAAGAGUACCACAGGUUUCAGGCACAAAGGAAGCCUAACAAGAUAUGCCUGCUUUGGUCCCUUUAAGGACCAGGACUCUUUACAGUGUUAAUUCCCAUUGAAGAGGAUAGUUUCUCUACAGCUAACAGUGACAAUAUUAUAAUUAUGAUUAUAGGCUCUGUGAAAGGAAAACAUCUUGGGCCCCCAAAAUCACUAAGCCAAAGGGAAAAGUCAAGCUGGAACUGCUUAGGGCAAACCUGCCUCCGAUUCUAUUCAAAAUCACCCCUCUGCUCACUGAGAUAAAUGCACAUCUGAUUGCCUACUUUGAAGAGGCCAAUCAAAAACUCAAAAGAAUGCAACCAUUUGUCUCUUAUCUACCCAUGACCUGGAAGCCCCCUCCCUGCUUCCAGAUGUCUCGCCUUUCCAAACUGAACCAGUGUUCAUCAUACAUAUGUUGAUUGAUGUCUCAUGUCCCCUUAAAAUGUAUAAAACCAAACUGUGUUCUGACCACCUUGGGCACAUGUCAUCAGGACCUCCUGAGGCUGUGUCAUGAGUGCACA
ensembl:lncRNA novel transcript, antisense to AHCYL2